GCUGGGAUAGCUCAGUUGGUAGAACAUGAGACUCUUAAUCUCAGGAUUGUGGGUUCAAGCCCCAUGUUGGGUA